ACACCGCGGGGGGACACGGGGGGAAAACACCGGGGGGACACGGGGAGACACUGAGAACACGGCGGCGUGGGGACACCGCGGGGGGACACGGGGGGAAAACACCGGGGGGACACGGGGGGACACUGAGAACACGGCGGCGUGGGGACACCGCGGGGGGACACGGGGGGAAAACACCGGGGGGGGACACGGGGGGACACUGAGAACACGGCGGCGUGGGGACCCCGCGGGGGACACGGGGAGAAAACACCGGGGGGACACCGGGAGCGUGUGGCGUUGGGGACAUCUCCGAGUGGCUUUCGCUUCCCCGCGGCCCAACCUGUGGGAUUGCGGUCUGGGGACACCUCAUCAAAAUCCUCAAAGACUCUUUGGGGCUUUUCCGUUCCCUUUUCUCCCUUCCCCUUUUUUAUUUAUUUAUUUUUUAACAUUCUUCCCCUUUCUGAGCCCUUGGCUGGGUCCGGCUCUGCUUCAUCCGCGGGGACAGAAAUUUCCAGCGAGGAUUGGGGUGAAAAUGGGAUUUUCCCACUAUUUCCAUCAUUAAUUGAUUAUCCUGCCAGCGCCACGGGGACAGAGGCGCUCCCCGGGGCUGGGAAUUCGGCUUUUCCCGAAGCUCGGCGGGGCUGCUCUAGAUGGCAGCAGCCUCCUUCCCUUCCCCGAGCCAUUCCCCGCUCUUCAUCCUCCUCCUCCUCCUCCUCCCUCUCCCUUCCCCCCUCUCCAUCCAUGCCUGGGUGUCCCCCCGUGCAGUUCAGGUUUGGGGGGUUGGACAGGGCCUGGAGCGCCCUGGCACGGCAGAAUUGUCCCUGUCCUUGGAACGGGACAAGGUUCCUGCUCCUCCACCCAGCCCGCAGCUCCCACCCUGCUGAGGGACCCAAAAUUCCCCCCAGUCUGACCCACAAUUCCCCCCAGUCUGACCCAAAAUUCCCCCCAGUCUGACCCAAAACUCGGUGGAAUCCCAAAAUCCCAGUGACACCCUACAACCAGGUGACACUCUAUAAACCCAAUGACACCCCAAAAACCCGGUGAAAUCCCCCAAACCUGGUGAAAUACCAAAAACCCAGUGACAUCCCAAAAACCCGCUGAAAUCCCAAAACCCAGUGAAACCCCAAAAACUCCGUUAAACCCCAAAAACCCCGGUGAAACCCCAAAAACUCCGUUAAACCCCAAAAACCCCAGUGAAACCCCAAACCCCCGGCUGUCCUUGCCCAAGGACUCGCAGCUCCCGCCCCGCCGGGAGCGAUUUUGAGCGUGAAAACCUCGAGAGCAGCCAAGCGAAAAUCGCAUUUCCUGCAGCGGCUGCGGGAGGAGGGAGCGGCGGGAGCGGCGGGAGCGGAGGGAGCGGCGGGAGCGGAGCAGCGGCGGGAGCGGCGGGAGCGGCGGGAGAGGAGGGAGCGGAGCAGCGGCGGGAGCGGCGGAGGGAGCGGAGCGAACGGCGGGAGCGGAGCAGCGGCGUCAGCAGCGCCAGCACUGCCCACCCCAGGCAGCAGCUCCAGGUGACACCUGGACAUUCCAGAGGUGGAGGGGAUGGAAGUGAGCACAAGAAGAGGAGGAACUCCAGCUCUUGCUGGAGUCGGAUCUGAGGCGCCUGCAGCUCCUCGGAGACGCAGAUCUGGGAAUUGUUUCAGGAAGAAGCCGAGCGGGCACGGGAAGACCGGGAGAACAAGACACAUCACGUUCCCCAGAUGAUAAUGAGGGAAUGAAAUUAAACCACCUGGGAGACCAAAACUCUCCUUCCUUCCUUCCUUCCUCAGGAGCAGCUUCCCCUCCUCGGCAGCGAUUCCUGCCGGAGCCGUCACCCGCGGGCGAUCCAGAAAUGAAUCACGCCGGGAACGGGGGAAGGCGGCUCGGAUCAUUCCUAAAGCUGCUGUUCCAACCCCAUAAAACCCCGCGCAACAACAAGGGGCAUCCCAUCAUUCGUGUUAAUUCCGGAAUUGCUGCUAAUUCCGGCCCAAUUAGGAGAUAAAGCACGGCGCUGGAGACGCUUAUUAAAUUACAAAUCAUCCCGGCUAAA